rnacentral:rRNA from 1 species
UACGUAGGGGGCAAGCGUUGUCCGGAAUCAUUGGGCGUAAAGAGCUCGUAGGCGGUUUGUCGCGUCUGCUGUGAAAACUCGGGGCUUAACCCCGGGCCUGCAGUGGGUACGGGCAGACUAGAGUGCGGUAGGGGAGACUGGAAUUCCUGGUGUAGCGGUGAAAUGCGCAGAUAUCAGGAGGAACACCGGUGGCGAAGGCGGGUCUCUGGGCCGUAACUGACGCUGAGGAGCGAAAGCGUGGGGAGCGAACAGG